GACAUAUACAGGAAUGGAGAAAGAAAAACGUAGCCUACGAGUAACAUUCAAGGGAAUUGCAACCCUAACAAUUACCUCUCCUUCUCCUCCAUAUGUGCGGCCCUUUUUCUCUCACCGUUGCAUAUUCAAAGACAUCCUCGCCGGAUGCUUACAAAAUUAGACUAAGAUCUGCAGAAAUCGAGAGGAAUUGCGAUCUUGACAGAAAGGAAGGAAGGACUAAGAUCAGCAAUAAGAAAUUAAAGUGAGAAGCUAGCAUUAGGCCGGUAGAGAAAGUUGCCGUAUUUCUCAAUUCUGAUGGCUUGUGCUUCGAUGCUAAGUGUCACUUUCCAGGGAAUGGUGGCUUUUGGGGAGUUUUGUGGGAGCGUCACGCUGCAUGCGACGGAGACUGCUAAUGAAGGAAAACCAGCAGCCAUAGGCCCCGAUUUGAUCCAGCCAUUUUCACAUGUUGAGAAUUGAACCAAACACAGGAAGAAAACAAAUAUUUUCCCAGAAAAUUACUUUUCAAGGAAAAUGUCUUCCAGUAGAAAGCAUUUUCCUUCCAAACAAACAGACCCUAAGUGUCUACUGAUUUCAUACCUCUGCAACACCAGCUUGACUCAAGUUACAAGGGAACGAUCUCCUUCCACCUAACGCAGAAAAAUGUCGAUUGGGACGUUAAUUUGGUGGUUUUCGCUUUUUACUAAAUUGGGUUGGCACAAGUCUCUUAGAAAAGAGCUGAUGUGAAGUUUGUGGUUGAUUAUUAGCAUAGGGCGGAUACACAGUUGAUUUACACGAUUGAUUUUUUU
rnacentral:lncRNA from 1 species